GACGAACGCUGGCGGCGUGCUUAACACAUGCAGGUCGAACGGAAAGGCCCUGCUUUUGUGGGGUGCUCGAGUGGCGAACGGGUGAGUAACACGUGAGUAACCUGCCCUUGACUUUGGGAUAACUUCAGGAAACUGGGGCUAAUACCGGAUAGGAGCUCCUGCUGCAUGGUGGGGGUUGGAAAGUUUCGGCGGUUGGGGAUGGACUCGCGGCUUAUCAGCUUGUUGGUGGGGUAGUGGCUUACCAAGGCUUUGACGGGUAGCCGGCCUGAGAGGGUGACCGGCGACAGGGGUACUACGGGAGGGCGCAGACGCGAACGGUAGGCAGUGGGGGGGAAGGUGGCGGAGCGGGCGGGAGCGUGAGACGCCGACCCCGGGUGCGGAAAGACCUGUGACGGGGGGAAAACAGAUGUCGCCGGAAACGAGCCGUGCGUGACGGUAACUAAUAAAAAAGCCCCGGCUAACUACGUG
rnacentral:rRNA from 1 species